rnacentral:lncRNA from 1 species
AGAGUCAGAAAGUGUAUUCUGUUACAUUACUAUCCGUUCACCCUUAUAUAAUCUCCUUGGGGCUGUCCCUGUUCAUUUAGGAGCAGGAGCCUGAUUUCCAAGCUGUUACUUUCCCUGCCUCCAGUACGCACCUCGCCCCGUGUCCAGACUACAGGUCCACAUUAAGAGUUCUAUUUCCUCUGCUUCCACUUCAUUCUGAUCGUCCGCAGCUUCUGCCUAACUCAGCGGGGCUUCAACCCACUGCUGGGCUACCAGACCCUUUUCCUGCGGAGGUUCCAGCCCGGCGCACGGCUCUUCAUUCCCUGGGAAGCAGGUUUCUCCCCUCCUCCAGUAUAAUCCCACGGGGCAUAAUUCACGUUGUCCGGGACCAGACUGCCCAUACUUGUGCCGUGCCCCGCCCCCCUCCUCCUCGGACAGUGACACACAACGGGAUCCAGUGUCUCCAGGGGCUGGAUCUGGUAAUGGCAGACUGCUUAUUUCUAGCAUUACCAAUGUUGCCUUACAUAGCUCCCAUGAACUACUGUGGCUUAGGUGUCUUCACUUCUCUGAAGUACAGAGUCCAGUUGAUGGUGCAUCCCAGAAUUGUCAUCCAAAUGAUGUUCUCUAGGAAAGGUCAGAUACAUUCCAGAGAUGGAGGAGCCAAGGAAGGAGGAAAAGCAGCCUGAGAACAAAGGGCCUCAGACCACAGAAGGGCAGACACAAGAGUGCCUCAUAACAUCUGGCUCCUCUCUCCAGUCUAGACUAAGUUCUCAACCAACUCUUUGCUUGGCAUAGCUGGCUGAUAAAUUGUGUGGCUGAAUUGCUGCAAACCCUAGCACUGUCCAAGGUCCAUUAGCCAUCUGAUGUCAAGUCCUGCAGAUCUUGUGUUUGGCUAGAGGAGUUAAUGUAACUGACCAUGCUACUACCCUGAUUUGUUGGAUGAGCUGUUACCAAUUCUUUACUGUAGAAGGUAAGUCACCAUUGAUAGUUGAGUCCCAUCUAAGGGCACAUUUACACUACAGCCGGGAUUGAUGCUCUGAGAUCGAUCCACCAGUGGUCAAUUUAGCGGGUCUAGUAAAGACCUCCCAGAUUGCUCUCCAGUUGACCCCUGUACUCUACCCCCAAUGAGAAAAGUAAGGUAAGUCGAUGGGAGAAAAUCUCCCAUCGACCCCCCGUGGUGUAGACCCCGCAGUAACUCAGUUUGAGGUACGUCAACUCCAGCUAUGUUAUUCACAUAGCUGGAGUUGCGUAGCAUAGGUCCACUUACCGUGGUAGUGUAGACAGUCUCAGACCUAAAAGUCUCUCCCUAAUCCCAAAUCCUGGUGCUGGUCUUGGUUAGUGCUGCUGUGCCAACUCAAGCCCAGGGAAAAUGCAGCCCUGGGAAACCUGCUACUCCUUUUCUCUAUAUUCUCCCCACAAAUAAUACAAUGUGAAAAGCCUUCUGCAGCAAGGCUCUUUCUGACAUCUCCCUUCUACUGCUUCCCCGCAGUCAGUCUCCAGCUGGAGAGUGGAAAGGUUUGAUCUGCUGCUGAAAGCUUCUCGCCCUACUUCGCUGUGACUCUUCUGAUGGAGGAAUCACCCCAACACUAUCUCUAUUCACCUGCACAUCCCAAUGCAGGAGUGACUCUCCCAGGCCACAUGGUUCCCUACAGCAACUUCUACAGCCGCUUUUUUCUGUGCUCAGUCUCUUCACACCCUGCUCCUGAGCUGGUCCAUCUCUCCCCUUCCCUUGCCUCC